UACGUAGGGUGCGAGCGUUAAUCGGAAUACUGGGCGUAAAGCGUGCGCAGGCGGUUUUGUAAGCCAGAUGUGAAAUCCCCGGGCUUAACCUGGGAAUGGCAUUUGGGACUGCAAGGCUGGAGUGUGGCAGAGGAGACUGGAAUUCCUGGUGUAGCAGUGAAAUGCGUAGAUAUCAGGAGGAAUACCGAUGGCGAAGGCAGGUCUCUGGGCUGACACGUGACGCUCAUGCACGAAGCGUAG
rnacentral:rRNA from 1 species